rnacentral:lncRNA from 1 species
GGUGCUUCUUUCCCGCCGGCAGGGCUGGGGGCGGGCUUUUCGGCCCGCUCCGCGCGCUGAUUGGUUGAACCUCCGCGGGCGGGAAGAGGGGCGGUGGGGGCGCGUUCCCGGCGUGCACCGCGCGGCUGUGAGGGGAACUGGGGCCCAGCAGGUGCCACCAAUGGCUGAGGGUCCCCCGGAGCCACCGGGUGCUGAUCUGUGGGGCCUCGUCCCCCCCUCACACUUCACACUCCGUCCCCCUGCCCCCAGCACCAGGUAAGGGUCUCCUGUUGUUGCCCACCACCCCCCAGUUGCCUCCCAGUUCUCCCCAGUGCUCCCAGUAAGCC